UUUAUUGGAGAGUUUGAUCCUGGCUCAGGAUGAACGCUGGCGGCGUGCCUAAUACAUGCAAGUCGAGCGAAUGGAUUGAGAGCUUGCUCUCAAGAAGUUAGCGGCGGACGGGUGAGUAACACGUGGGUAACCUGCCCAUAAGACUGGGAUAACUCCGGGAAACCGGGGCUAAUACCGGAUAAUAUUUUGAACUGCAUGGUUCGAAAUUGAAAGGCGGCUUCGGCUGUCACUUAUGGAUGGACCCGCGUCGCAUUAGCUAGUUGGUGAGGUAACGGCUCACCAAGGCAACGAUGCGUAGCCGACCUGAGAGGGUGAUCGGCCACACUGGGACUGA
rnacentral:rRNA from 1 species